rnacentral:rRNA from 1 species
GGAGGAAUCUUGGACAAUGGGGGCAACCCUGAUCCAGCCAUGCCGCGUGAACGAUGAAGGCCUUAGGGUUGUAAAGUUCUUUCAACGGUGAAGAUAAUGACGGUAGCCGUAGAAGAAACCCCGGCUAACUCCGUGCCAGCAGCCGCGGUAAUACGGAGGGGGUUAGCGUUGUUCGGAAUUACUGGGCGUAAAGCGCACGUAGGCGGACUAUUAAGUCAGGGGUGAAAUCCCGGGGCUCAACCCCGGAACUGCCUUUGAUACUGGUAGUCUAGAGUUCGAGAGAGGUGAGUGGAAUUCCGAGUGUAGAGGUGAAAUUCGUAGAUAUUCGGAGGAACACCAGUGGCGAAGGCGGCUCACUGGCUCGAUACUGACGCUGAGGUGCGAAAGCGUGGGGAGCAAACA